rnacentral:lncRNA from 1 species
CACCUUUCCGUUUGUGUCCCUUUUCUUUUUGAAUAUCUAUUUACAUCCUAUAAGUUUAAUCCCUUCAGGUGGAUCAACAAGUAUCCUUACACUGUUGAUCUCAUGGACUCCAUCUUAGAUUUUAUGAUCUCAAGUUAUUUUUCAGAGUCGGAUCUUUACAUGGCAUCCAUAUAGGUGAUCGAAUUCUCGUCGUUCUCAUCGAGUUCAACAGAAUCAUAGUCUUGGAUUAAGAAACUAUAGUAUUUAUCCGACUGAUGCGGUACUCUACUGGAUCUCCUUAAAGGUACCUCAAUAAUGGGCUCUA